rnacentral:rRNA from 1 species
UACGGGGGGGGCAAGCGUUGUUCGGAAUUACUGGGCGUAAAGGGCUCGUAGGUGGCCAACUAAGUCAUACGUGAAAUCCCUCGGCUUAACCGGGGAACUGCGUCUGAUACUGGAUGGCUUGAGUUUGGGAGAGGGACGCGGAAUUCCAGGUGUAGCGGUGAAAUGCGUAGAUAUCAUUUGGAACGCCAACGGUGAAAACAGCUCGCUGGGGAUGUGCUGACGCUGAGACACGAAAGCCAGGGGAGCAAACGGG